rfam:Oryza sativa Japonica Group DNA, chromosome 9, cultivar: Nipponbare, complete sequence.
UUUAAGGCCAGAUGUAGAUUUCUGUGUCUACUAUUUCACCGUUCGUCUUAUUUAAUUUAUUUUAUAGUUAUUAUUUUAUUUGUUAUUAAAUGAUAAAAUAUGUAUAAUACUUUAUGCGUGACUUAUUUUUUAAAAAAAAUUUAAAUAAGAUGAACGAUCAAAUAUUGGACACAGAAACUCACAACUACACUUAAA